AUUUAAAUAGCUUAAAAUAGAGCAUAGUAUUGAAGAUACUAGGGUAACAUUACUGUUUUUAAAUA
rnacentral:tRNA from 1 species